AACAAGGUUUCCGUAG
rnacentral:rRNA from 1 species